rnacentral:rRNA from 1 species
CGGGAAGAGCUCAAAUUUAAAAUCUGGCCGGGUUACCGGUCCGAGUUGUAGUUUAUAGAAGUGUUUUCGGCGGCAACCUGGGUACAAGUCCUUUGGAACAGGGCAUCAUAGAGGGUGAGAAUCCCGUCCAUGACCCAGUGGAUGCUGCUAUGUGAUACACUUUCAAA